GAGUUUGAUCAUGGCUCAGGAUGAACGCUAGCGGUAUGCUUAACACAUGCAAGUCGAACGGAGUUUCUAAUAUUGACUUUCGGGAAUUUAUUUUAAACUUAGUGGCGAACGGGUGAAUAACACGUAAGAACCUACCUUUAAGAAGGGGAUAACAGUUAGAAAUGACUGCUAAUACCCUAUAUACCUACGGGUAAAAGAUUUAUCGCUUAAAGCAGGGCUUGCGUCUGAUUAGCUAGUUGGUUGGGUAAAGGCUAACCAAGGCAACGAUCAGUAGCUGGCUUGAGAGGGCGACCAGCCACACUGGGACUGAGACACGGCCCAGACUUCUACGGAAGGCAGCAGUGAGGAAUUUUCCGCAAUGGGCGAAAGCCUGACGGAGCAAUACCGCGUGGAGGAUGAAGGUUCAUGGAUUGUAAACUCCUUUUCUUAGAAAAGAAAUCAAUGACGGUAUCUAAGGAAUAAGCAUCUGCUAACUCCGUGCCAGCAGCCGCGGUAAGACGGGGGAUGCAAGCGUUAUUCGGAAUUAUUGGGCGUAAAGCGUCUGUAGGUGGCUAAAUAAGUCUGGUGUUAAAUACUGAAGCUCAACUUCAGACCUGCAUCAGAAACUAUUUAGCUUGAGUACGUUAGAGGCAGGGGGAAUUCCCAGUGUAGCGGUGAAAUGCGUAGAUAUUUGGGGAGGAACACCAACAGCGAGGGCACCCUGCUGGGCCGAUACUGACACUCAAGGACGAAAGCUAGGGGAGCGAAUGGGAUUAGAUACCCCAGUAGUCCUAGCUGUCAACGAUGGAGGCUAAACGUUGUCCAUUUGGCCAGCGUUGAAGUUAACGCGUUAAGCCUCCCGCCUGGGGAGUACGCUCGCAAGGGUGAAACUCAAAGGAAUUGACGGGGACCCGCACAAGCGGUGGAGCAUGUGGUUUAAUUCGAUGCAACGCGAAGAACCUUACCAGGGCUUGACAUGCCGCGAAUCGCUAUGAAAAUAGUGGAGCCGAAAGGCGCGGUCACAGGUGGUGCAUGGCUGUCGUCAGCUCGUGUCGUGAGAUGUUGGGUUAAGUUCCGCAACGAGCGCAACCCUUAUCCCCAGUUACCUUUUUAGGAACCUGUGGAGACUGCCGGUGUUAAGCCGGAGGAAGGUGAGGACGACGUCAAGUCAUCAUGCCCCUUACGCCCUGGGCUACUCACGUGCUACAAUGGCUAGGACAAUGGGAUGCCACCCUGCGAAGGCGAGCUAACCCCAAAAACCUAGUCUUAGUUCGGAUUGUAGGCUGCAACUCGCCUACAUGAAGCCGGAAUCGCUAGUAAUCGCUGGUCAGCAAUACAGCGGUGAAUACGUUCUCGGGUCUUGUACACACCGCCCGUCACACCAUGGAAAUUGGCUAUGCCCAAAAUCGUCACCCUAACCUUUUGGAUGGGAGCGCUUAAGGUAGAGCUAGUAACUAGGGUGAAGUCGUAACAAGGUAACC
rnacentral:rRNA from 1 species